rnacentral:rRNA from 1 species
CCCUUAGAUGUUCGGGGCCGCACGUGCGCUACACUGAAGGAAUCAGCACGUCUUUCUCCUUGUCCGAAAGGACUGGGUAACCCGCUGAACCUCCUUCGUGCUAGGGAUUGGGGCUUGUAAUUCUUCCCCAUGAACGAGGAAUUCCCAGUAAGCGCGAGUCAUAAGCUCGCGUUGAUUACGUCCCUGCCCUUUGUACACACCGCCCGUCGCUACUACCGAUUGGAUGGUUUAGUGAGAUCCUCGGAUUGGUCCCGGCGCGGCCUCUGGUCGUGCCGGAGUGCCGAAAAGAAUGUCGAACUUGAUCAUCUAGAGGAAGUAAAAGUCGUAACA